rnacentral:rRNA from 1 species
GCAAGUCGAGCGAGAAAGCCGACUUCGGUUGGUGAGUAAAGCGGCGAACGGGUGAGUAACACGUGGGCAACCUGUCUGGGAGUGGGGGAGAACUCGGGGAAACCUGGGCUAAUACCUCAUACGUUCGCGGUGCUUCGGCAUCGAAUGGAAAGCUGGCCUCUACAUGUAAGCCAGUGCUCUUAGAGGGGCCCGCGCUCGAUUAGCUAGUUGGUGAGGUAACGGCUCACCAAGGCGACGAUCGGUAGCCGGCCUGAGAGGGUGAUC